UGUGUAGGCGGUUUGAAAGGUUGGAUGUGAAAGCUCCCGGCUUAACUGGGAGAGGUCGUUCAAAACCAUCAGACUUGAGAGUGGUAGAGGGAGGUGGAAUUCCGGGUGUAGUGGUGAAAUGCGUAGAUAUCCGGAGGAACACCAGUGGCGAAAGCGGCCUCCUGGCCCAUUUCUGACGCUCAGACACGAAAGCUAAGGUAGCAAACG
rnacentral:rRNA from 1 species